GAGAGGAACCACACACCCAGGUAACAAUAACAGAUCAGCCUGCAGAGAGAGGAACCACACACCCAGUCAACAAUAACAGAUCAGCCUGCAGAGAGAGGAACCACACAUCCAGUCAACAACAAUAGAUCAGCAUGGAGAGAGAGAGAGGAACCACACACCCAGUCAACAAUAACAGAUCAGCCUGCAGAGAGAGGAACCACACAUCCAGUCAACAACAAAUCAGCCUGCAGAGAAAGGAACCACACCCAGGCAACAACAAUAGAUCAGCCGGCAGAGAGAGGAACCACACACCCAGGCAACAAUAACAGAUCAGCCUGCAGAGAGAGGAACCACACACCCAGGCAACAAUAACA